CCUACGGUGGGCAGCAGUGGGGAAUAUUGCACAAUGGGCGCAAGCCUGAUGCAGCCAUGCCGCGUGUGUGAAGAAGGCCUUCGGGUUGUAAAGCACUUUCAGCGGGGAGGAAGGCGUUAAGGUUAAUAACCUUGGCGAUUGACGUUACCCGCAGAAGAAGCACCGGCUAACUCCGUGCCAGCAGCCGCGGUAAUACGGAGGGUGCAAGCGUUAAUCGGAAUUACUGGGCGUAAAGCGCACGCAGGCGGUCUGUCAAGUCGGAUGUGAAAUCCCCGGGCUCAACCUGGGAACUGCAUUCGAAACUGGCAGGGUAGAGUCUUGUAGAGGGGGGUAGAAUUCCAGGUGUAGCGGUGAAAUGCGUAGAGAUCUGGAGGAAUACCGGUGGCGAAGGCGGCCCCCUGGACAAAGACUGACGCUCAGGUGCGAAAGCGUGGGGAGCAAACAGGAUUAGAUACCCUUGUAGUC
rnacentral:rRNA from 1 species